GACGAACGCUGGCGGCGUGCUUAACACAUGCAAGUCGAACGAUGAAGCUAGAGCUUGCUCUGGUGGAUUAGUGGCGAACGGGUGAGUGACACGUGAGUAACCUGCCCCGAACUCUGGGAUAACUGCGGGAAACUGUAGCUAAUACCGGAUACGACCCUCGGCGGCAUCGCCAGGGGGUGGAAAGAAUUUCGGUCAAGGAUGGACUCGCGGCCUAUCAGCUAGUUGGUGAGGUAACGGCUCACCAAGGCGACGACGGGUAGCCGGCCUGAGAGGGUGACCGGCCACACUGGGACUGAGACACGGCCCAGACUCCUACGGGAGGCAGCAGUGGGGAAUAUUGCACAAUGGGCGCAAGCCUGAUGCAGCAACGCCGCGUGAGGGAUGACGGCCUUCGGGUUGUAAACCUCUUUUAGUAGGGAAGAAGCGAAAGUGACGGUACCUGCAGAAAAAGCACCGGCUAACUACGUGCCAGCAGCCGCCGUAA
rnacentral:rRNA from 1 species